rnacentral:rRNA from 1 species
UGGGGAAUCUUCCGCAAUGGACGAAAGUCUGACGGAGCAACGCCGCGUGAGUGAAGACGGCCUUCGGGUUGUAAAGCUCUGUGAUCCGGGACGAAAGAGCCUGAGGUGAAUAGCCUAAGGAAGUGACGGUACCGGCAAAGCAAGCCACGGCUAACUACGUGCCAGCAGCCGCGGUAAUACGUAGGUGGCAAGCGUUGUCCGGAAUUAUUGGGCGUAAAGCGCGCGCAGGCGGCUUCCUAAGUCCAUCUUAAAAGUGCGGGGCUUAACCCCGUGAUGGGAUGGAAACUGGGAAGCUGGAGUAUCGGAGAGGAAAGUGGAAUUCCUAGUGUAGCGGUGAAAUGCGUAGAGAUUAGGAAGAACACCGGUGGCGAAGGCGACUUUCUGGACGAAAACUGACGCUGAGGCGCGAAAGCGUGGGGAGCAAACAGG